AUUGAACGCUGGCGGCAGGCCUAACACAUGCAAGUCGAGCGGAUGAAGGGAGCUUGCUCCUGGAUUCAGCGGCGGACGGGUGAGUAAUGCCUAGGAAUCUGCCUGGUAGUGGGGGAUAACGUCCGGAAACGGGCGCUAAUACCGCAUACGUCCUGAGGGAGAAAGUGGGGGAUCUUCGGACCUCACGCUAUCAGAUGAGCCUAGGUCGGGUUAGCUAGUUGGUGGGGUAAAGGCCUACCAAGGCGACGAUCCGUAACUGGUCUGAGAGGAUGAUCAGUCACACUGGAACUGAGACACGGUCCAGACUCCUACGGGAGGCAGCAGUGGGGAAUAUUGGACAAUGGGCGAAAGCCUGAUCCAGCCAUGCCGCGUGUGUGAAGAAGGUCUUCGGAUUGUAAAGCACUUUAAGUUGGGAGGAAGGGCAGUAAGUUAAUACCUUGCUGUUUUGACGCUACCAACAGAAUAAGCACCGGCUAACUUCGUG
rnacentral:rRNA from 1 species